AAAAAGAGUGCUCAGGACAAGGCCCUGAGGAAGCCCAACCCCCAGAGUUUGGGCAGAGGGACAGGGCAUGUAAAAGGAGAAGGAGUAUCCCAGUGAUCAGUCCCUUUUAUUAAAUUUGUUUUUUAUUUAGGUGUCUGGAGAUGGCUGAGGAGCCCAUGACUUUCCUGUAUGAUCCCUUGAACGUAACUUCCAAGUCAGUAGAUUUCUUCUCAGGUAGCUUUCAUAAAAGUGUUUAAUUGUUGUCAGUUUUGAGUUCAUCUCACCACCUAGACCUUACAGUCCCUGGGUAGGCAGGCAGUGGGCGAUAGAAGCUCACACUCUAUACUUCUCCUCUUACUCAUUCCCACCCUGCUGAGGUUUAAGGAAAGCCAAGGAUCAGGACCCACUUAAGCUUUCCUUGGCCUUGUUAAGUCCAAUCAUCUGGGGCGGGAAGAAGAGAAAUGCUCAUUGCAAUCUUUGACCCCCACUAACUGCUGUGGUGACUUUGAGCCAAGCCCUUGACCUCCAUUUCCUUAUCUGCAAUGUUGCUGUGAUUCGUGUGGUGAGGUUAGAGAGGCAGCACUUGGGAUAAGCUUGAAGAGAUGCAUCCAGCCAUAUGAAAGUACAGGAUGCCGUGUGUGCUUCCUGCUUCAUAGCACGUUUUGUUUCUUGGAAGGUGAGUGGCCCGGCUGCCUCCCCGCAAACACAUAUUUCUGCCUUUCUCAUUGUAAUCAUGUUUCAGUUUCAGUUUAUUUCACAGAAAUGUUUUGAAAUCCUUUAUCUCUAAUGGAAGCACAAACGGGUGUGGGGGAGUCAAAAAUGGGGGAAAAAUUUAGUCUGUAAGCAAAUCAUUGGAUGGCAUCAGAAUUUGAGCCAGGGUAAAAAUGCUGGACCUUGGCCCUUAGACAGAGAAGUGCAGAAGAACUCAGGUUGGGGGAUUCUAUUUAAAACAUGUUCAGUUCUGAGGAAGAGGAGUAUGGGCAGGGCAGAGGAAAAAUGUAAAAUGGGAAACUCCCUCAUGGACUUAAGGCCCCAGCAGAGAGAAACCAUGUGCUUUCUCCCUGCUUCCCCGCUUCCCUUCUGACUUGGGCAAAUGAGGCAGUUCAUGCUCCCCUUAGGGCUGGAGGCAGUCUGCAGGGGCCAGCUGGGCAGAGAAGAAGU
rnacentral:lncRNA from 1 species